rnacentral:rRNA from 1 species
CGACGGAGGGGGCUAGCGUUAUUCGGAAUUACUGGGCGUAAAGGGCGCGUAGGCGGAUUAGUAAGUUGGGAGUGAAAGCCCGGGGCUUAACCUCGGAACUGCUUUCAAAACUGCUAGUCUUGAGUGAAGUAGGGGGUGAUGGAAUUCCUAGUGUAGAGGUGAAAUUCUUAGAUAGUAGGAGGAACACCGGUGGCGAAGGCGGUCACCUGGACUUCAACUGACGCUGAGGCGCGAAAGCGUGGGGAGCAAACAGGAUUAGAUACCCUUGUAGUCC